AGGGCAAUCUUGCUGUGACAUCUGUCAUCCCAUUGGUCACCAGGGUUGAUUAGGCUGAUCUGGUUAGCUAGGGGUUGUCCCUUCCUCCCUAACCCCUUCAUGUGCAUGUCUCCUAAAACUGAAGGGUCUGCCCCCUUGUGGGGGGACUGUUCCUGGGUCAACAGUAUAGGAGUAGUUGCUCCCCUGCUAAAACCUCCAAACAAACUCUCAAGGUCCAUUUGUAGAAGAACAUAGGGUAAUCCAGCUUCCAAGACUCUAGACACAACCAAAUAAGGUGCUGCAUAUGGCAGUCUGCCUUUCUUU
rnacentral:snRNA from 1 species